CGCGUAGGCGGUUUGGUAAGUCGGAUGUGAAAGCCCAGGGCUUAACCUUGGAAUUGCAUUCGAUACUGCUUAACUAGAGUAUGGUAGAGGGAAGUGGAAUUUCCGGUGUAGCGGUGAAAUGCGUAGAUAUCGGAAGGAACACCAGUGGCGAAGGCGACUUCCUGGGCCAAUACUGACGCCGAGGUGCGAAAGCGUGGGGAGCAAACA
rnacentral:rRNA from 1 species